rnacentral:rRNA from 1 species
CUUCCCAUUUCGAACAGAGAAGUUAAGCCCGCUAGCGCAGAUGGUACUGCCGUAAGGUGGGAGAGUAUGUCGUCGCCCUUC